AUGGCCUGUUUCAAAUUGCCUAGGGGUUUAUGUCAGCACAUCAAUGGUUUACUGAGGAAGUUUUGGUGGGGAUCGAAGGGAGAGGGGAGGACCGCCUGGGUCUCCCGGGAAGUCAUGUCAUAGCCAAAAUUUAUGGGGGGUAUGGGUUUUCGCGACAUUGAGCUCUUUAACCUGGCAUUGCUUGCACGGCAAACCUAGCGCCUUCUCCAUGAACCCAGCUCCCUAAGUGCUCGAAUCUUAAAGGUUGUCUAUUAUCCUUAGUCUUCUAUCCUCGAAGCAGAGAUUGGGAAGAACCCAUCACAAGUCUGACGUUCUAUAGUUGAAGGAAGGGAUGCAUUAAAACUUGGCCUAGUGAAGCGGAUUGGUUCGGGCGAGGAUACCAAUAUUUGGCUUCACAAUUGGAUUCCACGAGAUUUCAAACUCUGUCCGGUGUGCCCAAAAUCUCCAAACCCCUCGGACAAGGUUUCAGAGUAA
rnacentral:rRNA from 1 species